GCUUGGGUGGCUCAGUCGGUUGAGCAUCCGACUUCGGCUCAGGUCAUGAUCUCGCGGUCCGUGGGUUCAAGCCCCGCAUCGGGCU
rnacentral:tRNA from 1 species